GGCGAGUCGCGCUGCACAGAAGGGGCCGCGGACAAAGUUGGACCUCGGAGGGGACCACCACGUGGAUGGCACGCGGCCCGGGUGACACAGGGAAGUCACACUCCGUGGUGCGGAUGGGCCCGGCAGCAAUUUUCCCGGCCUCCAUCCGUCCUGUUGGUGCAGGGACGUAAAGAUAACUGGGAGCAAGCCCCGCUACCCGGUAAGGGGGGCAGUGGGCCCCCGGGCUCCCCCGGGCAACGCGCCAACUCGCCCCGGACCGGCCCCGCCGCACUGCCGGCUGCNNNNNNNNNNNNNNNNNNNNNNNNNNNNNNNNNNNNNNNNNNNNNNNNNNNNNNNNNNNNCGGGCCGCGACUGCGGGGACUCAGCGGCCGCCGGGGAGGCGGCGCCGAAGCCCGUGCCCAGGGGCAGCCGCGCGCCUGGUUCACCGUCUUCCCGACAUGGGCCGCCAGUUCCAGGAUUUUGGAGACAAGCGGACGUGAACUAGAGCACCCACUGGUAUAGUUCUUCUCACUGCUCGGUAAGCGCAGUGUUGCUUAGAGGAAUGGAAUGAGGUGUAGGUGUUUCACGUGUCCUAGUUGGGGUUAAAGAUUUCCCUUCUAUCUCAGCAAAUUUAUAUUUGAAGUCAUAAAAAUGGUCCUGUAAACCUUUGGCUUCAUUUCGGUUCUAAAAUUCAUUCUUUGUUAUUUUUCUCAGGACCGCGCGGCUCCUCUGGGGGGCGGGGGGUGGGGCGGGCCCGGCUGCGGCCUCCGGUCGCGCCCUGCGUCCUCCUCGGCCUCGCUUUCCUGCCCCCUCUGGGCACUUUCUGGGUCGGAAGGUUGUAAAAGAAUUGGAUCGUGUGCACACGUGCAGUGCUCUGCCGCUCAUAAUUUUCUCCUACCUUGGAUUCAAGGAGUUUCUGAAGGAAUCUUCUUCGCUGCGCACGAGGGAUUUGGAGCCCUGAGCCUUGAGGAGUCAAGGGUCCUUUCGGUGGGCGGAGCUGCUUACCUGCUACUGGAGGCCAGUCCUGUUUAUAAACCAUCUUGAUUUAAUCUCUGCCAUAUUUUUGAACUAAGCAUAAACGAUCAACCCUGUGAUUUAUCUCAAACAAAAAACAAAAAACAAAAAACAAAAAAACCCAAUUCAAUGGUCAUUGAAUUUUCUCUAAUAUAUAUCUUUAUCUUCAGAUUUAUUUUUUUUUUUAAUUUUUAUUUAUUUAUGAUAGUCACACAGAGAGAGAGAGAGAGGCAGAGACACAGGCAGAGGGAGAAGCAGGCUCCAUGCACCGGGAGCCCGACGUGGGAUUCGAUCCCGGGUCUCCAGGAUCGCGCCCUGGGCCAAAGGCAGGCGCCAAACCGCUGCGCCACCCAGGGAUCCCCUCUUUAGCUUCAGAUUUAAAGGAGGGGCGGCCGGGUGGCCCAGUCUGUUAGGCCUCCAGCUCUUGUUACUGGGUCGGAUUAUGGUCUCCGGAUCUUGAGAAUGAACCGCCUGGGCUCUGAGCUUGGUAGAGAGUCGGCUUGGGGUU
rnacentral:lncRNA from 1 species